GCAGAGUAGGCGGCCAAGCGUAAAGUGUCCCGCGGACGGGGAGUUGCCGCGGGAACGAAAAGCGAAUAGCUUGCGGUUUGGCUGCCGCAUCCCGCUGU
rnacentral:ncRNA from 1 species